rnacentral:rRNA from 1 species
UACGUAGGGGGCCAGCGUUGUUCGGAAUUACUGGGUGUAAAGGGUUCGUAGGCGGUGCGGCAAGUCGGGAGUGAAAUCUCUGGGCUCAACCCAGAGGCUGCUUCCGAAACUGCUGUGCUUGAGUGUGGGAGAGGCGCGUGGAAUUGCAGGUGUAGCGGUGAAAUGCGUAGAUAUCUGCAGGAACACCCGUGGCGAAAGCGGCGCGCUGGACCACUACUGACGCUGAAGAACGAAAGCUAGGGGAGCAAACAGG